AACGAACGCUGGCGGCAUGCCUAACACAUGCAAGUCGAACGAGACCUUCGGGUCUAUUGGCGCACGUGUGCGUAACGCGUGGGAACCUGCCCUUAACUUCUGAAUAACUCCCCGAAUGGGGUGCUAAUACCGGAUAAUCGCUUCGGACCAAAGAUUUAUCCCCUUUGGAUGGGCCGGCGUUGGAUUAGCUAGUUGGUAGGGUAAAAGCCUACCAAGGCGACCAUCCAUCGCUGGUCUGCGAGGAUGAUCAGCCACACUGGGACUGAGACACGGCCCAGACUCCGACGGGAGGCAGCAGUGGGGAAUAUUGGACAAUGGGCGAAAGCCUGAUCCAGCAAUGCCGCGUGAGUGAUGAAGGCCUUAGGGUUGUAAAGCUCUCUUACCCGGGAUGAUAAUGACAGUCCCGGGAGAAUAAGCUCCGGCUAACUUCGUG
rnacentral:rRNA from 1 species